UACAGAGGGUGCGAGCGUUGUUCGGAAUUACUGGGCGUAAAGCGCGCGCAGGCGGCCUUUUAAGUCUGACGGUGAAAUGCCGGGGCUCAACCCCGUUGCAUGCCGCGGAUACUGGGAGGCUGGAGACAAGUAGAGGCAAGCGGAAUUCCGGGUGUAGCGGUGGAAUGCGUAGGAGACGUCGAAGAACACCGGAGGCGAAGGCGGCUUGCUGGGCUUGGUCUGACGCUGAGGCGCGAAAGCGUGGGGAGCGAACAGG
rnacentral:rRNA from 1 species